GAGGGUGUAGCUCAAGUGGUAGAGUGCAUGCUUAGCAUGCAUGAGGUCCUGGGUUCAAUCCCCAGUACCUCCC
rnacentral:tRNA from 1 species